UAGGAUGUUCAGAAGGCUUCAGGCCACAGAUU
rnacentral:piRNA from 1 species